CAUCUGCUCAAUGAAUAUUUAAAUAGCCGCGGAAUUUUUACCGUGCUAAGGUAGCAUAAUCAUUAGUCCUUUAAUUAAGGACUUGUAUGAAAGAUGUCACAUUUCAAUUCCUUUUUUAAUAUUUAUUAUUUAAAUUAAAUUAAAAAUCAAAAUAUUUUUAUAAUUAUAAUAGACGACAAGACCCUACUGAACUUAACUUUUGUUUCGCUGGGGCAGCGAAAAAAAAACCAUUUUUUUAUGAAAAAUCCAAUAAAUGACCCAAUAUAAUUGAUCAUCUGCUCAAGUUACCAUAGGGAUAACAGCGUAAUUUUCUUUUGAAGCUCUUAUUUAAAAGAAAGAUUGCGACCUCGAUGUUGAAUUAAUGAAACUUUUUAUUAAUGCAAUCAUUAAAAAAGU
rnacentral:rRNA from 1 species